rnacentral:rRNA from 1 species
CCUACGGGAGGCAGCAGUGAGGAAUAUUGGUCAAUGGACGGGAGUCUGAACCAGCCAAGUAGCGUGAAGGAUGACGGCCCUAUGUGUUGUAAACUUCUUUUGUAUGGGAAUAAAACUGGCCACGUGUAGCCGUUUGUAUGUACCUUAUGAAUAAGGAUCGGCUAACUCCGUGCCAGCAGCCGCGGUAAUACGGAGGAUCCGAGCGUUAUCCGGAUUUAUUGGGUUUAAAGGGUGCGUAGGCGGAGUGUUAAGUCAGUGGUGAAAUGUUGCGGCUCAACCCCAGAAUUGCAGUUGAAACUGGCGGUCUUGAGUAGAGUAGAGGUAGGCGGAAUGCGUGGUGUAGCGGUGAAAUGCUUAGAUAUCACGCAGAACCCCGAUUGCGAAGGCAGCAUACCGGACUCAAACUGACGUUGAGGCACGAAAGCGUGGGUAUCGAACAGGAUUAGAUACCCGUGUAGUC